CAACUCGGCUGCAUGAAGCUGGAAUCGCUAGUAAUCGCGGAUCAGAAUGCCGCGGUGAAUACGUUCCCGGGUCUUGUACACACCGCCCGUCACACCAUGGGAGUCGGGAAUGCCCGAAGUCAGUGACCCAACCGAAAGGGGGGAGCUGCCGAAGGCAGGCCUGGUAACUGGGGUGAAGUCGUAACAAGGUAGC
rnacentral:rRNA from 1 species